rnacentral:lncRNA from 1 species
AUGCCUGCCGUCUCCUUCUCCUGGUGCCCAUUUCUGGAACUGCUAUUUGUAUAUUGCAUGAUGUUUUAUCGGGGGAAAAUAAAACAGAUCCAAUGUCAUGAAAAUGCUGUUUGCCAUAAUGCUCAGGAGGACAGGGGGAAGAGAAAGAGUCAAGUUUUCCUACUGUCUACCCCAUGUGCAGCUCAAGAUUUCCUGGAUUUUAUUCAAAGUCCCUCUGUUCAAGCCUCCCAAGGUUUCCACUGGUCAGUGCUGAGACUGAGCACCUUAGCUGCAUAACUCCACAAGGACUGAGACCUCGCUACUCUCCUUGGACACCUUCCCGAGUCCUGUGAGUCUUCUCCUCUCUCAACCCUCUCCUUCUCUCCUCUCCAUGUCUAAUUCAUUAUCC